rnacentral:rRNA from 1 species
CCUACGGGAGGCAGCAGUGGGGAAUAUUGCACAAUGGGGGAAACCCUGAUGCAGCGACGCCGCGUGAGUGAAGAAGUAAUUCGGUAUGUAAAGCUCUAUCAGCAGAGAAGAAAAUGACGGUACCUGAGUAAGAAGCCCCGGCUAACUACGUGCCAGCAGCCGCGGUAAUACGUAGGGGGCAAGCGUUAUCCGGAUUUACUGGGUGUAAAGGGAGCGUAGACGGCAGUGAAAGUCUGGAGUGAAAGGCGGGGGCUCAACCCCCGGACUGCUCUGGAAACUGUACGGCUGGAGUGCAGGAGAGGUAAGUGGAAUUCCUAGUGUAGCGGUGAAAUGCGUAGAUAUUAGGAGGAACACCAGUGGCGAAGGCGGCUUACUGGACUGUAACUGACGUUGAGGCUCGAAAGCGUGGGGAGCAAACAGGAUUAGAUACCCUGGUAGUC